rnacentral:lncRNA from 1 species
UAUGUUAAAUAUGGUGCCACAGUGUGCAAAGCUGUGCUUUAUGCUCCACCUAAAAACUCACCUUUCAACAUACUUACAAAGCUAAACCAAGGAACCCCAUUGAAGUUGAAAUCCAAAGACAAGUAUGAGGUUGUGCUUCAGGCUAAGCCAUUUGCUUAUGCUUCAAAGAAACAUUUUAAAGAAUGUGAGAAGCCCAAGCCUUCACCAACUCCAUACUACUACAAGUCACCUCCUCCUCCGGUGCCAGUUUACAAGUACAACUCACCACCUCCACCGGUCCAUUAUUAUUCUCCUCCGUAUUACUACAAAUCACCACCUCCUCCUGUAAAAACACCGCCACAUCCUUACUAUUACAAGUCUCCACCACCACCAUCACCAUCUCCUCCUCCUCCAUAUUAUUACAAAUCUCCCCCACCUCCUUCACCAUCACCUCCUCCACCUUAUUAUUAUAAAUCUCCUCCUCCACCCAAAGUGAUAUCAAACCCUCCAUACUACUAUAAGUCACCACCUCCACCAUCACCGUCACCUCCUCCACCAUACUACUAUAAGUCCCCACCUCCACCAUCACCAUCUCCACCACCCCCAUACUAUUAUAAGUCACCACCUCCACCAUCACCAUCACCUCCUCCACCAUACUACUAUAAGUCCCCACCUCCACCAUCACCAUCACCUCCUCCACCAUACUACUAUAAGUCCCCACCCCCACCAUCACCAUCCCCACCACCACCUUACUAUUAUAAGUCCCCACCUCCACCCAAAGAGAUUUCACACCCUCCAUACUACUAUAAAUCACCACCCCCACCAUCACCGUCACCUCCUCCACCAUACUACUAUAAGUCCCCACCCCCACCAUCACCAUCCCCACCACCACCUUAUUAUUAUAAGUCUCCACCUCCACCCAAAGAGAUUUCACACCCUCCAUACUAUUAUAAGUCACCACCCCCGCCAUCACCAUCCC